rnacentral:tRNA from 7 species
GCGGAAGUAGUUCAGUGGUAGAACAUCACCUUGCCAAGGUGAGGGUCGCGGGUUCGAAUCCCGUCUUCCGCUCCA